GUGUGCUUAAAGGCGAUGCCAUAGACCUGGAGACACUCACGAUGUGUUUAUAUUUAUUUCUAGAGGGACCACGAUAUCUUGUCGGAAAGCCUGGAUCAUAUUUUGUGGGAAAUCGCCCCAGACAUGCCCGGGGGAGGAAACUGAGGAAGCUGGGAACACCCCGUAAGUAAUUCUACGAACUUAAAUAAGGGAGCGGGAAGAACAAGCCAAGGGCAAAGAUUACAACACAGCAUAACAAAUCAGAGCAUGAGGGCAAAGAAAACGAUCACUCACCUCUGGCCAAUGGGCAUCAGAAUGGAGUUGAAGCUACGGGAGGCGGAAACGGGGGAACGAUGGACCCAAUGGGCAUGGGGAUGGGAAUGGGUAUGGGGAUGGGCAUGGGCAUGGGAAUGAGCAUGGGAAUGGGCAUGGGAAUGGGCAUAGGAAUGCGUAAGUGAAAUUUC
rnacentral:misc_RNA from 1 species